GAUUAACGCUGGCGGCGUGCAUAACACAUGCAAGUCGAACGAAGUGGCGGACGGGUUAGUAACGCGUGUGUAACCUGCCUUAGAGAAGGGGGUAGCCUUUGGAAACGAAGCAUAAUACCCUAUGCUCUAAGGUGGGCUUGCGUGUGAUUAGUUAGUUGGUGCGGUAACGGCUCACCAAGACAGCGAUCAGUAGCCGGCUUGAGAGAGUGUACGGCCACAUUGGGACUGAGACACGGGCCAUACUCUACGGGGGGCAGCAGUGGGGAAUUUUGCACAAUGGGGGAAACCCUGAUGCAGCGACGCCGCGUGAUUUAGAAGGCCUUCGGGUUGUAAAAAUCUUUUCUAUGGGAAGCAGUACCAUAGGAAUAAGGACCGGCUAAUUACGUGCCAGCAGCCGCGGUAAUUC
rnacentral:rRNA from 1 species